rnacentral:rRNA from 1 species
AUUGAACGCUGGCGGCAGGCCUAACACAUGCAAGUCGAACGAGUGGCGGACGGGUGAGUACUGUCUGGGCAACUGCCCGCUGGAGGGGGGUAACUACUGGAAACGGUAGCUAAUACCGCAUACCAUCGGAUGUGCCCAGAGGGGCUUAGCUAGUCGGUGGGGUAACGGCUCACCUAGGCGACGAUCGCUAGCUGGUCUGAGAGGAUGACAAGCCACACUGGAACUGAGAAACGGUCCAGACUCCUACGGGAGGCAGCAGUGGGGAAUAUUGCACAAUGGGCGCAAGCCUGAUGCAGCCAUGCCGCGUGUAUGAAGAAGGCCUUCGGGUUGUAAAGUACUUUCAGCGAGGAGGCGUUACUCGCAGAAGAAGCACCGGCUAACUCCGUGCCAGCAGCCGCGGUAAUUC